rnacentral:rRNA from 1 species
UGAACUGAGGGUAGCGGAGAAAUUCCAAUCGAACCUGGAGAUAGCUGGUUCUCUCCGAAAUAGCUUUAGGGCUAGCCUCAAGUGAUGAUUAUUGGAGGUAGAGCACUGUUUGGACGAGGGGCCCCUCUCGGGUUACCGAAUUCAGACAAACUCCGAAUGCCAAUUAAUUUAACUUGGGAGUCAGAACAUGGGUGAUAAGGUCCGUGUUCGAAAGGGAAACAGCCCAGACCACCAGCUAAGGUCCCAAAAUAUAUGUUAAGUGGAAAAGGAUGUGGCGUUGCCCAGACAACUAGGAUGUUGGCUUAGAAGCAGCCAUCAUUUAAAGAGUGCGUAAUAGCUCACUAGUCGAGUGACACUGCGCCGAAAAUGUACCGGGGCUAAACAU